AGCGUAGGCGGACAUUUAAGUCAGAGGUGAAAUCCCGGAGCUUAACUUCGGAACUGCCUUUGAUACUGGGUGUCUUGAGUGUGAGAGAGGUAUGUGGAACUCCGAGUGUAGAGGUGAAAUUCGUAGAUAUUCGGAAGAACACCAGUGGCGAAGGCGACAUACUGGCUCAUUACUGACGCUGAGGCUCGAAAGCGUGGGAGCAAACA
rnacentral:rRNA from 1 species